GGCUGGGAAAGAGGGCAGCUUCAGAAGGCUUCUUUAACCCCCUUCUCCUUAGUCCCUCUGCCAGUGAAGGGCAAAUGUUGAGAAAAUGACUUGGACAUUCCUUUGCUGCAUUGUUUAGAAUUACACAGAAGAAUGGACAUUUGCAAGAACACUGCAAGCAUUCUGCCUCCCACACUCUAGCCAGGAAAUAAAAUUGUGCUCCAAAGAGAGAGAUUCCAGGAAAGAAAACUGAGCUCCAGAUGUUCCCAAGUGGUAGCAGAAAGGGGAUUAAGACCCAGGACCCCAAACUCUUAGCUCAAGCUAGAGGGCCUGGCUGUGCCUACAGAAUUAGGGAGGGGCCAGGUCACAAAAGCCUGGGAUGGCAGGCUUAGGAGCCCAGACUUGAUCCCACAAGCAGAGGGAAGUCACUGUCAACAGUUCCUCUGGGGAAGAAUAGGAUGAAAGUGAUUCAUCUGGUGAUAGGUUCCUUCCCCCAACCUUCUACCAGUGUCCCUGAUUCCACUCCUCAGCCUGCAACUCACAGAGUCUCAGCCAAAGGCACUUU